CCUACGGGGGGCUGCAGUGGGGAAUUUUGGACAAUGGGCGCAAGCCUGAUCCAGCCAUGCCGCGUGAGUGAAGAAGGCCUUCGGGUUGUAAAGCUCUUUCGGCCGGAACGAAAUCGUCCGGGCUAAUACCUCGGAUGGAUGACGGUACUGGAAGAAGAAGCACCGGCUAACUACGUGCCAGCAGCCGCGGUAAUACGUAGGGUGCAGGCGUUAAUCGGAGUUACUGGGCGUAGAGCGUGCGCAGGCGGGUGAAAUCCCCGGGCUUAACCUGGGAACUGCGUUUGAAACUGGGAGGCUGGAGUGCGGCAGAGGGGGGUGGAAUUCCACGUGUAGCAGUGAAAUGCGUAGAUAUGUGGAGGAACACCGAUGGCGAAGGCAGCCCCCUGGGCCUGCACUGACGCUCAUGCACGAAAGCGUGGGGAGCAAACAGGAUUAGAUACCCUAGUAGUC
rnacentral:rRNA from 1 species